rnacentral:rRNA from 1 species
UACGUAGGGUGCAAGCGUUGUCCGGAAUUAUUGGGCGUAAAGAGCUCGUAGGCGGUUUGUCGCGUCUGCCGUGAAAGUCCGGGGCUCAACUCCGGAUCUGCGGUGGGUACGGGCAGACUAGAGUGAUGUAGGGGAGACUGGAAUUCCUGGUGUAGCGGUGAAAUGCGCAGAUAUCAGGAGGAACACCGGUGGCGAAGGCGGGUCUCUGGGCCACUACUGACGCUGAGAAGCGAAAGCAUGGGGAGCGAACAGG